rnacentral:rRNA from 1 species
GACGAACGCUGGCGGCAGGCCUAACACAUGCAAGUCGAGCGGACCUAUCGGGGUCAGCGGCGGACGGGUGAGGAACGCGUGGGAAUAUGCCCUUCUCUACGGAAUAGUUCUGGGAAACUGGGGGUAAUACCGAAUACGCCCUUUGGGGGAAAGAUUUAUCGGGGAAGGAUUAGCCCGCGUUGGAUUAGGUAGUUGGUGGGGUAAUGGCCUACUAAGCCGACGAUCCAUAGCUGGUUAGAGAGGAUGAUCAGCCACACUGAGACUGAGACACGGCCCAGACUCCUACGGGAUGCAGCAGUGGGGAAUCUUAGACAAUGGCGGCAACGAUGAUCUAGCCAUGCCGCGUGAGUGAUGAAGGCAUUAGGGUUGUAAAGCUCUUUCAGCUGGGAAGAUAAUGACGGUACCAGCAGAAGAAGCCCCGGCUAACUCCGUG